GGUUUCUUUUAAGGAAGAAACUAACGUGGUUUCUGAACUUCCUGACGUUCAGAAAAAAGCACUUGAUGAACUUAAACAACUUAUUCAAGAAGCGCUUAACAAACAUGAAUUCACCGCUCCUCCACCCGCUCCAGUCAAAGCACCUGAACCUGAAGUAGCUGUAAAAGAAGAGAAAAAGCCUGAAGAAGAUGAAAAGAAAACCGAAGAGGUGGUAGAAGAGAAGAAAGAUGAAGCAGUAGUUGAGGAGAAGAAGGUUGAUGAAGAAAAAGGUUCAACCUCUGAGGAACCUAAAGUUGAAACUGCUGAACCUGAAAAGGAGGAGAAGAAAGUGGAGGAAACGGUUGUAGAAGUUGUUGAGAAAAUAGCUGCAAGUACCGAAGAAGACGGUGCGAAAACAGUUGAGGCUAUUCAGGAAAGUAUAGUAUCUGUUCCAGUUACUGAAGGUGAACAACCUGUUGCUGAGCCUGUUGCUGAA
rnacentral:lncRNA from 1 species